GUUAUAUUGAACUAAUCUCACCAAUCUCGCACCAGAAAUGGUAGAAGUUAUUUUUUCUCUUUCAUUAUCCUAUGCAUUCACAACCAUGAAACCAUAUUUCUGCAGAAGAGAGAAGAAAAAACAUCAUCACCAAACUCGGAACACAUACAUCCGGAAACAGCACGUACACCAACAAAGACUAGAUUUACGUAGUUUAUCGCACCUUAGGCAAUCUUAACCUCAAUCGUCUUAGGCUUCUUGGGCUCCGGUGGCGGCAACUUCUGGACGGUGACGGUCAAAACACCGUCCUGACAAAUCGCCGAUAUGG
rnacentral:lncRNA from 1 species